AUACGUAGGUGGCAAGCGUUAUCCGGAAUUAUUGGGCGUAAAGAGUGAGCAGGCGGUUAAUUAAGUCUGAGGUUAAAGCGCGGGGCUCAACCCCAUAAAGCCUUUGAAACUGAUUGACUAGAGUACGGGAGAAGUGAAGGGGACUUCAUGUGUAGCGGUGAAAUGCGUAGAUAUAUGGAAGAACACCAGUGGCGAAGGCGCUUCACUAGCCCGAAACUGACGCUCAGUCACGAAAGCGUGGGUAGCAAAUAGGAUUAGACACCCUAGUAGUCCACGCUGUAAACGAUGACGACUAAAUAUUGCCGCGAGGCAGUGUUGAAGCUAACGCAUUAAGUUGUCCGCCUGGGGAGUACGGUCGCAAGACUGAAACUUAAAGGAAUUGACGGGG
rnacentral:rRNA from 1 species